rnacentral:rRNA from 2 species
GGGCGGCGUCUUACACAUGCAGUCGUAACAAGGUAACACGAACGGUGGUGGAUUAGUGGCGAACGGGUGAGUAACACGUGGGCAAUCUGCCCUUCACUCUGGGACAAGCCCUGGAAACGGGGUCUAAUACCGGAUAACACUCUGUCCCGCAUGGGACGGGGUUGAAAGCUCCGGCGGUGAAGGAUGAGCCCGCGGCCUAUCAGCUUGUUGGUGGGGUAAUGGCCUACCAAGGCGACGACGGGUAGCCGGCCUGAGAGGGCGACCGGCCACACUGGGACUGAGACACGGCCCACACUCCUACGGGAGGCAGCAGUGGGGAAUAUUGCACAAUGGGCGAAAGCCUGAUGCAGCGACCCCGCGUGAGGGAUGACGGCCUUCGGGUUGUAAACCUCUUUCAGCAGGGAAGAAGCGAAAGUGACGGUACCUGCAAAAGAAGCGCCGGCUAACUACGUGCCAGCAGCCGCGGUAAUACGUAGGGCGCAAGCGUUGUCCGGAAUUAUUGGGCGUAAAGAGCUCGUAGGCGGCUUGUCACGUCGGAUGUGAAAGCCCGGGGCUUAACCCCGGGUCUGCAUUCGAUACGGGCUAGCUAGAGUGUGGUAGGGGAGAUCGGAAUUCCUUGUGUAGCGGUGAAAUGCACAUAUAUCAGGAGGAACACCGGUGGCGAAGGCGGAUCUCUGGGCCAUUACUGACGCUGAGGAGCGAAAGCGUGGGGAGCGAACAAGAUUAUAUACCCUGGUAGUCCACGCCGUACACGUUGGGAACUAUGUGUUGGCGACAU